GUUGACCUCGGAUCAGGUAGGAAUACCCGCUGAACUUAAGCAUAUCAAAAGC
rnacentral:rRNA from 1 species